CCGUGCUAGGCGGGGUGCUAGCGGUGCCCUGUACCCGCAAUCCGCUCUAGCGGGGCUGAAUCCCCUCCCGAGGGGCUCCAGGCCCCGGGGUCAGCGCCCUGUUCUCGGUGCUGAUGGUUCGGUCCCGUUGCGAUGAAGACCCGUGAACCAGGUCAGGUCCGGAAGGAAGCAGCCUUAAGCGGUCACCUUCAGGCGCGGCGGGAGUGCCAGACCGGAGCUUUGAAACGGUGGUCGCGCCUCGGGAACGGCUUCGACGGAGGGUGCACGG
rnacentral:SRP_RNA from 1 species